rnacentral:rRNA from 1 species
UACGAGGUGCAGCAGGCGCGAAUCCCUACGGGGGUGCAGCAGGCGCGAAAACUUUACAAUGCGGGAAACCGUGAUAAGGGGACACCGAGUGCCAGCAUCAUAUGCUGGCUGUCCAGGUGUGUAAAAUACACCUGUUAGCAAGGGCCGGGCAAGACCGGUGCCAGCCGCCGCGGUAACACCGGCGGCCCGAGUGGUGAUCGUGAUUAUUGGGUCUAAAGGGUCCGUAGCCGGUUUGGUCAGUCCUCCGGGAAAUCUGAUAGCUCAACUAUUAGGCUUUCGGGGGAUACUGCCAGACUUGGAACCGGGAGAGGUCAGAGGUACUACAGGGGUAGGA